rnacentral:rRNA from 1 species
GGAAUAUUGGACAAUGGGCGAAAGCCUGAUCCAGCAAUGCCGCGUGAGUGAUGAAGGCCUUAGGGUUGUAAAGCUCUUUUACCAGGGAUGAUAAUGACAGUACCUGGAGAAUAAGCUCCGGCUAACUCCGUGCCAGCAGCCGCGGUAAUACGGAGGGAGCUAGCGUUGUUCGGAAUUACUGGGCGUAAAGAGUACGUAGGCGGUUAUUCAAGUCAGAGGUGAAAGCCUGGAGCUCAACUCCAGAACUGCCUUUGAAACUAGAUAGCUAGAAUCUUGGAGAGGUGAGUGGAAUUCCGAGUGUAGAGGUGAAAUUCGUAGAUAUUCGGAAGAACACCAGUGGCGAAGGCGACUCACUGGACAAGUAUUGACGCUGAGGUACGAAAGCGUGGGGAGCAAACAGGAUUAGAUACCCUGGUAGUCCACGCCGUAAACGAUGAUAACUAGCUGUUCGGGCUCUACGAGCUUGAGUGGCGCAGCUAACGCAUUAAGUUAUCCGCCUGGGGAGUACGGUCGCAAGAUUAAAACUCAAAGGAAUUGACGG